GAAGUUCGCCAGGCAGUCGCCGCGCACGGGUUGCGCGGAGGAAAGUCCGGGCCCCGCAGAGCAGGAUGCCGGCUAACGGCCGGGCGUCGUGAGGCGACGGAAAGUGCAACAGAAAACAAACCGCCGAUGGCUCGCGCAACGCGGGAUCAGGCAAGGGUGAAACGGCGGGGUAAGAGCCCACCGCGGGACUGGUAACAGCCCCGGCACGGCAAACCCCAUCCGGGGCAAGGCCAAAUAGGGGGGCAUGGCGUGGCUCGCGCCGCUCCCGGGUAGGCUGCUGGAGCGCCGCGGCAACGCGGCGCCAAGAUGAAUGAUUGCCCGGUGUCCUUCGGGACAUUCGACAGAACCCGGCUUAUCGGCGAACUUCCCGC
rnacentral:RNase_P_RNA from 1 species